rnacentral:rRNA from 1 species
UAUCCGUUAUGGAAAUUCAUCACUAAUAACUAUGAUAUUUAUAAUAUUAUAGAAAUGGUGUGCAAUUUUUCCAUAUAAGGACAUUGUAAUCUGUUAAUGUAAUAAAUAUUUAUUAAAAGAUCUUAUACAUAAGUUUAUUCAAAUUAGUUAUUUUCGGAUUUCUAACAUAGAAUAAAUGUAUUUGAUUUAAUAAAUCAUUGACAGAUUUAAUUAUAAUAUAGUGCUUAAAUUUUGAAAGAAAUUUUACAAUAAUAUGAUAAUUCAAUUUGUUAUAUUUAUUGUAUGCACUUAUAUGAUUAACAAUGCGAUAGAUUCAGGAUACCUUCGGGACCCGUCUUGAAACACGGACCAAGGAGUCUAACAUAUGUGCAAGUCAUUGGGUAUUUUUAAUAAAACCCAAUGGCAUAAUUAACUUAACUGUUUUUUAAAUGGGAUUAGUUUAUAUUUUAUUAUGAAAUAUUAAUUCAAUCCCGGGGCGUUCUAUACAGUUAUGCAUAAUGAUAUUUAUAUUAUUUAUGUCUCUAACUAGAGCGUACCUUGAGCAUAUAUGCUGU